GACGAACGCUGGCGGCGUGCUUAACACAUGCAAGUCGAACGGUAAGGCUCCAGCUUGCUGGGGUACACGAGUGGCGAACGGGUGAGUAACUCGUGGGUGACCUGCCCUGCACUUCGGGAUAAGCCUGGGAAACUGGGUCUAAUACCGGAUAGGACCAUGGUGUGGAUACUGUGGUGGAAAGUUUUUUCGGUGUGGGAUGGGCCCGCGGCCUAUCAGCUUGUUGGUGGGGUAAUGGCCUACCAAGGCGGCGACGGGUAGCCGGCCUGAGAGGGUGGACGGCCACAUUGGGACUGAGACACGGCCCAGACUCCUACGGGAGGCAGCAGUGGGGAAUAUUGCACAAUGGGCGGAAGCCUGAUGCAGCGACGCCGCGUGGGGGAUGACGGCCUUCGGGUUGUAAACUCCUUUCACCAUCGACGAAGGGUUUCUGACGGUAGAUGGAGAAGAAGCACCGGCUAACUACGUG
rnacentral:rRNA from 1 species